rnacentral:lncRNA from 10 species
GACUGGAGGCGCGCGACGCGGGCGCAAUGGCGGGGACCCGGGGCUUGAUGCUGCUUGGGCCUGGCCCAGUGGCGGGUCCUAGGGACGUGGGUACCUGCAGAGGCCGGCAGAUGGAGAUUCAGAAACAUAAGGACAACAAGAAACUUCCCCAAGGUAUCAUUAUAGUCUUUAGACUUCAGACACACACCACACCUCAAAUAUAUACACAACUGAAAGGAAAAUUAAGGAAGUUUUUCAAAGAACCCUAUUCCGAGUAAGAAGUGUGUUGCAUGAAUUUCUAAGAGCCAGAAAAUGCAUGACACAGGAGAAGAUGUACCCUCAUCUGUUCAGUGAGAGAUGUGCAAAUCAACAUCAACACAGAACUGCUGAAGAAAAAAAAUAUGUCUCUGAAAAGCAACUUAUUCACUGGAGAUGUGAGGAGCCAUCCGCACAUCACAAUUCUAUAGACAUCAAACGCAUGAAGCAUUUCGGAUCUGCUUUAAGACUGAGGCAGACUUUCCAUCUGGACACAGCCGACCAUCCAUGUGUCAUUACAAUGAAUCCAGCACUUCCCUGGAAGCUGGAAGGGUCAAAUUCAACUUCAACUCUGCCACUUCCUGCUUAACUUGCUGUUUAACCUUGGGCAAGCUGCCAUCCCACACGAGGCCGAAGGUGUCGGUUUUUAAAAUACAGAAAUUUGGUUCCAUGAGGGAUUAUCAAUAUACUGCUGGUGGGCCAAAUUCCAUCUGCUACUUGCCUUUGUAAAUAAAGUUUUAUUGAAACACAAACAUGCCCAUUAGUUUACUCUUGUCUGUGACUACAAGGGCAAAGUUGAAUAGUUGUUACAGAGACCAUCAGGCUCACAAAGCCUAGGUUAUUUACUAUCUGCCCAUUUACAGAGUAAGUUUGCCAGCCCUGGACUGGAUAAUUUUUUGAGUUCUUUCUAAUUCUAGAAUUCUUUAUAUAUUUUAUGAAACCCCUAAUGUUUAUAUAUUAAUUAUUUCAAUACCCGUGUCUUUACUGAGUCCCUCCUAUGAAGCAUACAUCAAGACAUAUGUGUGAUACAUUAACUAAACUUUUAACAGUAUCUUAAAUAGGAUUUCAAUGACUAACAGCUCUUGGAAAUAUCCAAGGUAACAUUUGGGGGCAAAUGUCUUAUGAUUUGAUUAUCAUUGGUAAAUAGAGCAUAUCUUUUUUUCCACUAACAAUGUUUAAGAAGUUAAAAAAAAAUCAAGAAAACCCCGUAUGGCACUAGAGACUUAUUGCAUUAAGACAUCAUCUUAACAGAUUGUUUAGUUUUGGUAAUAUAAUUUGACAUCUAAACAUAAGCUGAGAGGGAUCUCCCUCAAAACCUUUGAUAAUAUGAUUCAUUGUCAAAUGUUUGUUUUGCCUAUCUGGCACUCAUUAAUUAAUUCUUUUUAAUAUAGCUUGGAUUUACUGAUUUUGAAAAAGAGAAUUAUUCUUAUUGAUGUUGCUAAAAUAUCCAGGUGGCUUGAAUUUCACCAACUAGAUAGUUUAAUCUAGCACAUUUGUGUAGCCCUAAUCAAAUCUUUACUAACAGAUGUGAGAAGCCCAGUACUGGAGCUAAUGUUUGUGUCUCAAUGAUAAUUAAAUUAGCUUAAUAAGGAAAAUAAAUGAACAAUAAUCACCAAAAUUUUUCCCUAAACCUGUGUUAUAGUCUUAAAAACAUUUUUUCCCCUAUGGAGGCUUUUGGUAAUAAAACACAAAUUGAGGGAUUUUAAUUAAAAGAAAUUUUUUUUUCAAGAACUGGUCAUGUACUAAAUUGCUUAUAAUCAAAUAAUCAAGUAGCAUUUCUUUUAUUAUAAGAGCAAAACCUAUAAUUAAGCCAAAAUUCAAAUUUGUUUUUAAAGGUUGAAUAAUCUUUUGUUUUGGCCAAUAGUAUGUGGAUUUUUUUUUUAAGUAUUAUCUCUUUGUAGUAUUUUCUAAUGGAUAGGAAAUGCCUUUCUCAGGUUGAAUGAUUAUUUCCACAUAGAAUUAGUUCCUGCUUACAACAGUGCUCCACUAAUGUAAUGGCUCGGUGAAUUGGCUUUAUAAUUCAUUAAUCAUAGCUCACAUUGAGCUUUUGGCUCCAGGUGACAGUGCCCACCACAGGCCAAAUAACUUCUCAUUUAAAGGCAAUUUGUACAAAUAGGGAAGGUGAGAAUUCUCACAGUCCCAGAGGGAUUGAAGAGUUUUAAAAAACCAAGAUAAGGCAUUUUAUGGAAGACAGGUUGAUGGAAGAAAAGUGGCCAUUGGAGGAUGAGGCAGAUGGCUUUCCAGGGAGGCCCUGGAGCUGCCACCAUGGGGAAGGCCAUGUUGCAGCUGCUGAUCAGAGCACAUUGGACGGUGUUUCCGUGUGAACAUGAAGACAAUGCUGCCUCUGUUUCUGUGACGCUGUGCUCUGAUCUUGCUGGAGGCGAAGUGGUGUCAGCUGUGCUUACAGGACAGUCAGUGGUGGUAGAAAAGAGGCCAGUGUGACCUGUGAAGGACUGGGCCCCUCUCACUCAACCUGAGUGCCUGCAGUUGUGGCCACCUUUAUUUGUGUAUUCUACUGUAUUUAUUUAUUUGCCUGGCUAAUUAGCUCUGUGCCACAUUCCUAAGCUAGAUGUGUCCCUUCAUGUAAGUGAGAGGGAGACAGAAAGAAAGACUGAGGUGGGGGGUAGGAGAAAGAGAGGAAAGCAAGCAAGAAGAAAGAGAAAGAGAGAAGAAGAAAGGAAGAGGAAAGAAAGAGAGAAAGAGAAAGAGAAGGAAGGAAGGAGAAAGAGAAGGAAAGAAGGAGCCUUCUAAUUUUAUUUCAUUUCUCCAAUAAAUGUUCCUAUAUUAAGACUUUAGACAAAGAUUAGAAAUAUGAUUUGACAGAAAGUGUAUGGAUGUGUUGUUCUAUUGCAUUGUAAGUAAAGUAUCCAUGGCAAUAUACAAAUAAUACAGCUCCUACCCCUAUUCUCUGUUGUUACUUUCAUGUGUUGUCUUAACUUUUUAAAUUUCAAGAUAAUAUUGCGCUUAUUUAUUUUUCCAUGAGGAGGCCUAGGAUUUAGCUUGAUUAGAAAAGCUGUGGAAAAUGAAUGUGCUAAUUACUUUAAAUCAAAUUGAAAAUAAAUUUUAUCCUGUUUCAUGCAAAA